rnacentral:rRNA from 1 species
AGAGUGAACGCUGGCGGCAUGCCUUACACAUGCAAGUCGAACGGCAGCACGGGAGCAAUCCUGGUGGCGAGUGGCGAACGGGUGAGUAAUAUAUCGGAACGUGCCCAGUCGUGGGGGAUAACGCAGCGAAAGCUGUGCUAAUACCGCAUACGACCUAUGGAUGAAAGCGGGGGAUCGCAAGACCUCGCGCGAUUGGAGCGGCCGAUAUCAGAUUAGCUAGUUGGUGGGGUAAAAGCCUACCAAGGCGACGAUCUGUAGCUGGUCUGAGAGGACGACCAGCCACACUGGAACUGAGACACGGUCCAGACUCCUACGGGAGCAGCAGUGGGAAUUUGGACAAUGGGCGCAAGCCUGAUCCAGCAAUGCCGCGUGCAGGAUGGAAGGUCCUUACGGGUUGUAAACGUGUCGUUUUAGUACGGUAACGUAAACGGUUCUUACCGUACUAAUACGAAGGGUACUAAGUCGUAACGGUAACCGUAAGAAUAACGGACAACCGGACUAAACCGUACGUA